AUGCUGGAGCAGGAGGCUGGAAUGAAUAUACUACUAUGGAAGGUAGAAAGGCUAAGACAAAGAAUGAUUUUAGUGGGAGGUUCAACCUGGGAGAGGUGCGCUGAACUACUCAAGAAAAGAGACUCACAUCAUUGGCCGAUGCAUAUUCUACGACAUGAAAAACACCUCAAGGAAUUGUUGUUUCCAAGGUGGGCUGAGUUUAGGGACGGCAGCAGUUCUACCACCGAUGGUGUUGCAUGUAAGCUGGAUGUUCUCAUUGUUCUGUUGGCCCUGAUCGGAAAAGGAAAACACUCGACGAUCUGGCUCUGUCUCGGGUAUGUGCUCCCUCGCCCGCAAGAUCUGCUCUCUCCCAUCUACGCAUCGCGGCAGCACUUCAUCUCCUCUUGUGGAUUCUCACCAGAUCAGGCCACCUCACUCACCUUCAGGACCUCGCCGGCAGAUCCCUCAGCUAUCAAGGAAGGCAGCCAUCAGCGGAGAUUGAGGGUGCCUCUCUGGCGAGAGUGCACGUGUCCGGGUGGUUUCCCAUCAGCAGCGUGGGUGAGGCGGUGUCUUCUGCAGCUAGGUCUACUUGCUGGCGACCUCACCAUCACCAGCCCAUCUGCAGAUGAGGAUGUACGAAGGAUUUGGCCGUGA
rnacentral:rRNA from 1 species